rnacentral:rRNA from 1 species
UACGGAGGGUGCAAGCGUUGUUCGGAAUCACUGGGCGUAAAGGGCGCGUAGGCGGCCGUGUAAGUCACCUGUGAAAUCCCGGGGCUCAACUCCGGGGCUGCAGGUGAGACUGCGUGGCUAGAGCACGGUAGAGGCGAGUGGAAUUCCCGGUGUAGCGGUGGAAUGCGUAGAUAUCGGGAAGAACACCGGUGGCGAAGGCGGCUCGCUGGGCCGUUGCUGACGCUGAGGCGCGAAAGCGUGGGGAGCAAACAGG